UCUGAUAUUCACUCAGGCAGUGAUAGGUUUUUUGUCGAGCAAGAUCCCCUUGUUGCUCUAAUUUAAAUAUAAGCAGUAAAGCUUCAUGUACACUUUGCUUAUGGAUGAGCAAUAUUGGGGCAGAAUUUGAGAAUUUCUGACGCUUUGAACUUAAUGCAGGACCUUGCUAGUCAACUUGGAUCAGAGCCAUUUAUGCUUCAUAUUAUGGUCCAAUAAUGGCGUGGGGAGAAAGAAACAGCAAUUACUGUCAUUUUUUCACUGGAACUUCAAUAUUACAGACUUUGAAGAGUUAACUACAGAAACAAUACUAACAGCCAAACCUCUUGAAGGAAAGUUCAACUGGUUAUGUCCGGGUUAUGUCAAUCUAGUACAUAAUGCAAUAGUCUUCACAGCACAAGGUGCAAGGAAAUGCAAUGUUCCUUUAUAUAAUAGAAUGUGCUCUUGUGGGAAUUA